rnacentral:rRNA from 2 species
UGACCUAGCGGCGAAUGGGUGAGUAACACGUGCUUAAUCUACCCUUUAGAUUGGAAUACCCAAUGGAAACAUUGGCUAAUGCCGGAUACGCAUGGAAUUGCAUGAUUCCGUUGUGAAAGGAGCCUUUAAAGCUCCGCUAGAGGAUGAGGGUGCGGAACAUUAGUUAGUUGGUAGGGUAAUGGCCUACCAAGACUAUGAUGUUUAGCCGGGUCGAGAGACUGAACGGCCACAUUGGGACUGAGAUACGGCCCAAACUCCUACGGGAGGCAGCAGUAGGGAAUAUUCCACAAUGAGCGAAAGCUUGAUGGAGCGACACAGCGUGCACGAUGAAGGUCUUCGGAUUGUAAAGUGCUGUUAUAGGGAAAGAACACCUGGUUGAGGAAAUGCUUCCAGGCUGACGGUACCCUGUCAGAAAGCGAUGGCUAACUAUGUGCCAGCAGCCGCGGUAAUACAUAGGUCGCAAGCGUUAUCCGGAAUUAUUGGGCGUAAAGCGUUCGUAGGCUGUUUAUUAAGUCUGGAGUCAAAUCCCAGGGCUCAACCCUGGCUCGCUUUGGAUACUGGUAAACUAGAGUUAGAUAGAGGUAAGCGGAAUUCCAUGUGAAGCGGUGAAAUGCGUAGAUAUAUGGAAGAACACCAAAGGCGAAGGCAGCUUACUGGGUCUAUACUGACGCUGAGGGACGAAAGCGUGGGGAGCAAACAGGAUUAGAUACCCUGGUAGUCCACGCCGUAAACGAUGAUCAUUAGUCGGUGGAGAGUUCACUGACGCAGCUAACGCAUUAAAUGAUCCGCCUGAGUAGUAUGCUCGCAAGAGUGAAACUUAAAGGAAUUGACGGGGACCCGCACAAGCGGUGGAGCAUGUGGUUUAAUUUGAAGAUACGCGGAGAACCUUACCCACUCUUGACAUCCUUCGCAAUGCUAUAGAGAUAUAGCGGAGGUUAACGGAGUGACAGAUGGUGCAUGGUUGUCGUCAGCUCGUGUCGUGAGAUGUUUGGUCAAGUCCUGCAACGAGCGCAACCCCUAUCUUUAGUUACUAACGAGUCAUGUCGAGGACUCUAGAGAUACUGCCUGGGUAACUGGGAGGAAGGUGGGGAUGACGUCAAAUCAUCAUGCCUCUUACGAGUGGGGCAACACACGUGCUACAAUGGUCGGUACAAAGAGAAGCAAUAUGGCGACAUGGAGCAAAUCUCAAAAAGCCGAUCUCAGUUCGGAUUGGAGUCUGCAAUUCGACUCCAUGAAGUCGGAAUCGCUAGUAAUCGCAGAUCAGCUACGCUGCGGUGAAUACGUUCUCGGGUCUUGUACACACCGCCCGUCACCCCAUGGGAGCUGGUAAUACCCAAAGUCGGUUAGCUAACCUCG